AGCGGCGGACGGGUGAGUAACACGUGGGUAACCUGCCUGUAAGACUGGGAUAACUCCGGGAAACCGGGGCUAAUACCGGAUGCUUGAUUGAACCGCAUGGUUCCAAUCAUAAAAGGUGGCUUUUAGCUACCACUUACAGAUGGACCCGCGGCGCAUUAGCUAGUUGGUGAGGUAACGGCUCACCAAGGCGACGAUGCGUAGCCGACCUGAGAGGGUGAUCGGCCACACUGGGACUGAGACACGGCCCAGACUCCUACGGGAGGCAGCAGUAGGGAAUCUUCCGCAAUGGACGAAAGUCUGACGGAGCAACGCCGCGUGAGUGAUGAAGGUUUUCGGAUCGUAAAACUCUGUUGUUAGGGAAGAACAAGUACCGUUCGAAUAGGGCGGCACCUUGACGGUACCUAACCAGAAAGCCACGGCUAACUACGUGCCAGCAGCCGCGGUAAUACGUAGGUGGCAAGCGUUGUCCGGAAUUAUUGGGCGUAAAGCGCGCGCAGGCGGUUUCUUAAGUCUGAUGUGAAAGCCCCCGGCUCAACCGGGGAGGGUCAUUGGAAACUGGGGAACUUGAGUGCAGAAGAGGAGAGUGGAAUUCCACGUGUAGCGGUGAAAUGCGUAGAGAUGUGGAGGAACACCAGUGGCGAAGGCGACUCUCUGGUC
rnacentral:rRNA from 1 species